UACGGAGGGUGCGAACGUUAAUCGGAAUUACUGGGCGUAAAGCGUGCGCAGGCGGUUAUGUAAGACAGGUGUGAAAUCCCCGGGCUUAACCUGGGAACUGCAUUUGUGACUGCAUAGCUAGAGUACGGUAGAGGGGGAUGGAAUUCCGCGUGUAGCAGUGAAAUGCGUAGAUAUGCGGAGGAACACCGAUGGCGAAGGCAAUCCCCUGGACCUGUACUGACGCUCAUGCACGAAAGCGUGGGGAGCAAACAGG
rnacentral:rRNA from 1 species